rnacentral:rRNA from 1 species
UGCCCGUCGCUCCUACCGAUUGGGUGUGCUGGUGAGAUGUCGGGAUUAGUGGCUGUGGGCGGUUCGCCGCCCUCUGCCGCUGAGAACUUCAUCAAACCCUCCCACCUAGAGGAAGGAGAAGUCGUAACAAGGUUCCU